rnacentral:rRNA from 1 species
AUUGAACGCUGGCGGCAGGCCUAACACAUGCAAGUCGAGCGGAUGAAGGGAGCUUGCUCCUGGAUUCAGCGGCGGACGGGUGAGUAAUGCCUAGGAAUCUGCCUGGUAGUGGGGGAUAACGUCCGGAAACGGGCGCUAAUACCGCAUACGUCCUGAGGGAGAAAGUGGGGGAUCUUCGGACCUCACGCUAUCAGAUGAGCCUAGGUCGGAUUAGCUAGUUGGUGGGGUAAAGGCCUACCAAGGGGAGGAUCCGUAACUGGUCUGAGAGGAUGAUCAGUCACACUGGAACUGAGACACGGUCCAGACUCCUACGGGAGGCAGCAGUGGGGAACAUUGGACAAUGGGCGAAAGCCUGAUCCAGCCAUGCCGCGUGUGUGAAGAAGGUCUUCGGAUUGUAAAGCACUUUAAGGUGGGAGGAAGGGCAGUAAGUUAAUACCUUGCUGUUUUGACGUUACCAACAGAAUAAGCACCGGCUAACUUCGUG